rnacentral:lncRNA from 1 species
UGGGUCACGGGCUCCGGGAGCUCCAGGUGACUCCGACAGAAAGAAGGGAGCCUUAGUAAGGCUGAAGCACACCAGCAGGCACACAGUGAGACUGCUGGGGGUUGGGGGGGGAAUGGCACUGCAGAAACAGCUGGUGCACAUGAAAAAGCUAUGAAGUUCGAAGAUGUCGUGUAACUCUGGAACUCCACAUGAGGGGGGACAGACUAGAUGCAGCCCUGUGUGUGGGGAUGUGGGCUGGAGCCAGGUGUCCAGAGCUUUUCCUGAACCUGCUCCAGUCUGCUGCAGCCUGUGGGGCUGCUGAGAAGGGCUGGAAGGCUUGUGGAGAGCCCUGAAAGACCAUAUGGCCCUACUGGGGAAGUGUGUCCCUGUGUUCUGCACCUUUAAGAUCUGUGAGUUCUUCCUGUGCAUGAGGUUGGACCAAGCACAUGAGAGACUGCCUGGAGCCAUUUGUGCCGCAGCCCAGGAGUUCUGUAUGGAAAUGGUCUUCAAAGUCUCUACCACGUCUGAGGCCAGACUUCACCACCUGGGUAGCCUUAAAGAAUUCUCUCUCUCCUUAAGUCUCUCCUCCUCCUGCUCUGCUAUAAUCCCCUCAGCCAGUGUGUGCUCCAGAUGGCCUCCUUGUCAUCUAGAAUCUACUCUACCCUUACUCCAUAGCCAUGUUUUUGGCACAUGGCCAUGUCCCAGGAAGACUGUAUUUCUUAGUUCACCUCUGCCUAAGGGCUGAGCUGAAGUGACAUCUCACCAGUGGAUUGUGGGAGGAAGAGCUGUGUGAAGGAUGCACUGGUAAUUGCUUAAAAACAGGAUGUUGUUUCUGCCCCAUUUCCAUGGUGCAAAGAUCCUGACCAUGGCGGUUUGUCGUUUGUUUCAUAUAUGGCAGCAGACACCUCUGCUGUGGUCAGAAGGGGACAGCAGGUUAAUGCCAUAGAGGAAGAAAGAAAAUGUGGGCUUUCUGUCUCACUUACUCAUGUUGCCAGUGUUGCUUGUGGUCCUUUUCUGAGUGUGUACAGAGAUUCCGAUGACCAGAAAAUGUAUCUGGUCAUGACCAGAAGUCAGCAGUGGGUCAUGGUUUCAUAUGAAUUUGCUCCAUGGAUAGAAAGGACUCUACAUUUUGUUUGUGCUAACCGAGUUCAGCUGGUCUUUCUAUUUUCUGCCUUGUCUGUCCCACACAUGUUAUUCAUGAUCCCCCUGCAAACCUGGAAGUUCAGUGACUAAGGACUGUUCUUGU